rnacentral:rRNA from 1 species
CAAANNNNNNNGACGAACGCUGGCGGCGUGCCUAAUACAUGCAAGUCGAGCGAGCUGAAUUCAAAGGACUCUUCGGGGUGAUNNGUCGGGGACGGGUGAGUAACNCGUGGGCAAUCUGCCCUAAAGACUGGGAUACCACUUGGAAACAGGUGCUAAUACCGGAUAACAACAUAAUCGCANGAUUCAAGUUUGAAAGGCGGCGCAAGCUGUCACUUUAGGAUGAGCCCGCGGCGCAUUAGCUAGUUGGUGGGGUAAAGGCCUCCCNAGGCAAUGAUGCGUAGCCGAGUUGAGAGACUGAUCGGCCACAUUGGGACUGAGACACGGCCCAAACUCCUACGGGAGGCAGCAGUAGGGAAUCUUCCACAAUGGACGCAAGUCUGAUGGAGCNACGCCGCGUGAGUGAAGAAGGUCUUCGGAUCGUAAAGCUCUGUUGUUGGUGAAGAAGGAUAGAGGCAGUAACUAGUCUUUAUUUGACGGUAAUCAACCAGAAAGUCAGACGUCAAGUCAUCAUGCCCCUUAUGACCUGGGCUACACACGUGCUACAAUGGGCAGUACAACGAGAAGCAAACCCGCGAGGGUAAGCGGAUCUCNNAAAGCUGCUCUCAGUUCGACCGUGGAACUGCAUCGGAAACUGUCAUUCUUGAGUGCAG